rnacentral:rRNA from 1 species
GUGUCUGGUGGGUAGUUUGACUGGGGCGGUCUCCUCCUAAAGAGUAACGGAGGAGCACGAAGGUUGGCUAAUCCUGGUCGGACAUCAGGAGGUUAGUGCAAUGGCAUAAGCCAGCUUGACUGCGAGCGUGACGGCGCGAGCAGGUGCGAAAGCAGGUCAUAGUGAUCCGGUGGUUCUGAAUGGAAGGGCCAUCGCUCAACGGAUAAAAGGUACUCCGGGGAUAACAGGCUGAUACCGCCCAAGAGUUCAUAUCGACGGCGGUGUUUGGCACCUCGAUGUCGGCUCAUCACAUCCUGGGGCUGAAGUAGGUCCCAAGGGUAUGGCUGUUCGCCAUUUAAAGUGGUACGCGAGCUGGGUUUAGAACGUCGUGAGACAGUUCGGUCCCUAUCUGCCGUGGGCGCUGGAGAACUGAGGGGGGCUGCUCCUAGUACGAGAGGACCGGAGUGGACGCAUCACUGGUGUUCGGGUUGUCAUGCCAAUGGCACUGCCCGGUAGCUAAAUGCGGAAGAGAUAAGUGCUGAAAGC